CAGUAGCCGCGGUAAUACGAAGGGUGCAAGCGUUAAUCGGAAUUACUGGGCGUAAAGCGUGCGUAGGCGGUGAGUUAAGUCUGCUGUGAAAUCCCCGGGCUCAACCUGGGAAUGGCAGUGGAUACUGGCUCGCUAGAGUGUGUCAGAGGAUGGUGGAAUUCCCGGUGUAGCGGUGAAAUGCGUAGAGAUCGGGAGGAACAUCAGUGGCGAAGGCGGCCAUCUGGGACAACACUGACGCUGAGGCACGAAAGCGUGGGGAGCAAACAGGAUUAGAUACCCGCGUAGUCCCUGUCUCUUAUAU
rnacentral:rRNA from 1 species